rnacentral:lncRNA from 1 species
AAUAUAUCCCACAAAGUGGGAUAUUCGCAGGACCAGCAGCAGCCAGUAGCAUUACGUUUUCUGUGAUUUAAACCCGACAAUUCAAUGGGUGGCUGUAGACUCGUAUAGUGUUGGCGUCGCUUGCAUUGCAGGUCACUCAUUAACCCCGUGCUGGCGGUAGAGUCUUAUAAAAGAGCCCCAGAUUUUUCGCACGAGGAGGGAGUAGGAAAGCCGGUGGGAAAAAGCAGAGGACGAGCGGAGGCGCAUUCAUGAGCUCCCUGUACGAUAUCUCCUGCUUCGCUGCCGGCGUUGCUGGUAAUCUCCUUCGCCUCUCCGCUUCCGAAUUCUCAGUUGUUCUCAAGAGUGGUUAAGCUGAAAGUUCUUCCUUCAAUUUUGGUCCGCCGUUGCAGGAAACAUCUUCGCCCUCGCCCUCUUCCUGUCGCCGGUGUAAGCUACCAAACUGAUUUUUUUUUCCUCUUUGUUUUUCAUUUCUCUCCUGCUCGUUUAUUUCGUCGAUCUGAUCAUGGCGUUGCUGUUCGAUUGGUGGAUGCCAGGCCGACGUUCAAGAGGGUGGUGAAGGCCAAGUCGACGGAGCGGUUCGAUGGGCUCCCCUACCUGCUCUCCCUGCUCAACUGCUGCAUCUGCCUCUGGUACGGCCUCCCCUGGGUCUCCGACGGCGGCAGGACCCUCGUGGCCACCGUCAACGGCACCGGCGCGCUGUUCCAGCUCGCGUACAUUUCGCUCUUCAUCUUCUACGCCGACAGCAGGAGCACACGGGUAAUUCUUUCCUUGCCGACUUGCCGUCCUCAACUACACCAGCUUCAGUUCGGAAAAGAGACCCGAAGAAUUGUGCUGGUUCUUUGCCGUGUCUGACUGACCGACACGAGUAAGAUGGACCGCACAAUUUUGUCUGUGGAAGCUGUUUUCUUUCUUCCAUUUCUGCAAUAGACGAUGUUUGCGUGGAUAAUGAGACCUGUUCUUCGUCCUCUCCACAGUUAAAGAUCACGGGGAUCCUGCUGCUCGAAGUCUUCGUGUUCGCGUUCGUUGCGCAUGCGAGCAUCGCCUUCUUGGACCAGCCGGCCCGGCAGCUGUUCAUCGGCGGCGUGAGCAUGGCGUCUCUGAUCUCCAUGUUUGCCUCCCCACUGGCC